rnacentral:rRNA from 1 species
AAUGGCUCAUUAAAUCAGUUAUCGUUUAUUUGAUAGUACUUUACUACUUGGAUAACCGUGGUAAUUCUAGAGCUAAUACAUGCUGAAAACCCCAACUUCGGAAGGGGUGUAUUUAUUAGAUAAAAAACCAAUGCCUUUCGGGGCUCUUUGGUGAUUCAUGAUAACUUUUCAGAUCGCAUGGCCUUGCGCCGGCGACGGUUCAUUCAAAUUUCUGCCCUAUCAACUUUCGAUGGUAAGGUAUUGGCUUACCAUGGUUUCAACGGGUAACGGGGAAUUAGGGUUCGAUUCCGGAGAGGGAGCCUGAGAAACGGCUACCACAUCCAAGGAAGGCAGCAGGCGCGCAAAUUACCCAAUCCCGACACGGGGAGGUAGUGACAAUAAAUACUGAUACAGGGCUCUUUUGGGUCUUGUAAUUGGAAUGAGUACAAUUUAAACCUCUUAACGAGGAACAAUUGGAGGGCAAGUCUGGUGCCAGCAGCCGCGGUAAUUCCAGCUCCAAUAGCGUAUAUUAAAGUUGUUGCAGUUAAAAAGCUCGUAGUUGAACCUUGGGCCUGGCUGGCAGGUCCGCCUCACCGCGAGUACUUGUCCGGCCGGGCCUUUUUUCUGGAGAACCUCAUGCCCUUCACUGGGUGUGCUGGGGACCAGAACUUUUACUUUGAAAAAAUUAGAGUGUUCAAAGCAGGCCUUUGCUCGAAUACGUUAGCAUGGAAUAAUAGAAUAGGACGUGCGGUCCUAUUUUGUUGGUUUCUAGGACCGCCGUAAUGAUUAAUAG